UAUACUGAUACAGGUGCCUUUUGCAAAUGGUCGCAUGCGAUUGGACACAUGGAGGAGAGAAUCAUUUUCGCAGUAUCCUCAAAACCAUGUAUUUUUGACACAACUGCUGACAGCUACAGGGACAUAAGCACAAAAAAAUGCUGAUUGGAGACAAGUGUCCACGAUAGUAGGAUUGCCAGAAGAAGACUGUAGGAGGAAGUGGAGAGGACUUUGGGACAUGUAUCAGAGAGAGAGAGAGAGAGAGAAGGGCAGAGAAAGAGAAGAAGAAGUCUGGGUCAGCAGCUUCAGGCCAGCAGCCUUGGCGCUUCUGCCACAUUCUUUUCUGGAUCCAUUUAUUGUGCCUAUGGCAACGAGUGGCAAUUUUACAGCCAAGACCCUCUACUACGUCAUCCACACGUGUUGUCGCCACCGGUGCAUCAAGACCCUCAACGUCACCUACAAAGGCGACGAUCACCUCCACCUACAACAUCAUCCACGAGUAUGACCACCACCGGUGCAGCCAUGGAAGAUGAUGAAAUGGAGGAAGCACCUCUGGAUCUAGGACCACCUGAGAUUAUUAUGAACCUCACGGAAGAGACCACUGAGGACCUCGUUGAACAGGAUGUGGCCGUGGAGAGAAACAGAGGGAGAAACGAAGAGGAACAACGUCACACCAGGCGUCAUCGGAGGUACCAGCCCCUAGAGCCACUCAACUCAUUCCACAGAGGCUCCUCCAAGCCGUCGAGAGGAAUGCAGCCCAACCUGAUGCUCACCGGAAGGAGGAUGAAGAGACCCUCUUUUCCCAUGAGCCUGGUGCCAACACUGAAGAGGCUGCGUCAGCAAAGAAAAGGUUAAAAUGUAUCGGCUGCUUUUCGAAGCCGAGUUCAAUGAAAUGGAGUCAAUUUAGCCGACCAGCUCACAGGAAGGACAGGAAGAGGAGAGGAGUUGCCGGGGCCGACCAGCUCACAGGAAGGACAGGAAGAGGAGAGGAGUUGCCGGGGCCGACCAGCUCACAGGAAGGACAGGAAGAGGAGAGGAGUUGCCGGGGCCGACCAGCUCACAGGAAGGACAGGAAGAGGAGAGGAGUUGCCGGGGCCGACCAGCUCACAGGAAGGACCGGAAGAGGAGAGGAGUUGCCGGGGCCGAACCAGCUCACAGGAAGGACAGGAAGAGGAGAGGAGUUGCCGGGGCCGACCAGCUCACAGGAAGGAUAGGAAGAGGAGAGGAGUUGCCGGGGACGACCAGCUCACAGGAAGGAUAGGAAGAGGAGAGGAGUUGCCGGGGCCGACCAGCUCACAGGAAGGACAGGAAGAGGAGUUGCCGGGGCCGACCAGCUCACAGGAAGGACAGGAAGAGGAGUUGUCUGGUUGUUGUUUUGACCUCCCUCAUUGUACCUUUCUUUUCACACACGUCAGUUCUGUUUAAAUUCAGUCAAUACAUAAAGUAAUUUGUUUAUAGUCUUAGGAAAGCUUUCAUUAUUAGUGUUGCAUAGAUUUCUGAAUUGAAACUCAUACGGAGUUUUCACAGAUGCUCUUGGUCUCUUACGAGACUAAAGGUCAAUAUAUUUCUUUCAUCUAAAACCACUUGAAAACCAGGGUGUUGAAACUUUUUGUGAAGUUCUGUUCCAUUGACUGGUCCACGACGUCCAGGGGCCAUUUGUUUGUUUAGCUGUGUUAUGGCUACAUAUUAUUUUCAUUUUUUCAGAGACAGAGACACACACCUCUUCGUACCUCAGAUCUCCAGUGCCCUGCCCUCUCUCUCUUUAUGGCCAUGUCUGAAGUUCCUCUACUACGUCUAGGCUUUAUGAGUAGUCCCUGUAUCGGUCUGCAGUUGUGCCAAAAAUAUAUGCUCUUGCUGUUCUCUUUCA